rnacentral:rRNA from 1 species
UACGUAGGGGGCAAGCGUUGUCCGGAUUUAUUGGGCGUAAAGAGCGUGUAGGCGGCUUUACAGGUCCGUUGUGAAAACUCGAGGCUCAACCUCGAGACGCCGGUGGAAACCGUAAAGCUAGAGUCCGGAAGAGGAGAGUGGAAUUCCUGGUGUAGCGGUGAAAUGCGCAGAGAUCAUGAGGAAGACCAGUGGCGAAGGCGGGUCUCUGGACAGUUCCUGACACUGAGACACGAAGGCCAGGGGAGCAAACGGG